rnacentral:rRNA from 1 species
UACGAAGGGGGCUAGCGUUGCUCGGAAUCACUGGGCGUAAAGCGCACGUAGGCGGCUUUUUAAGUCAGGGGUGAAAUCCUGGAGCUCAACUCCAGAACUGCCUUGGAUACUGAGAAGCUUGAGUCCGGGAGAGGUGAGUGGAACUGCGAGUGUAGAGGUGAAAUUCGUAGAUAUUCGGAAGAACACCAGUGGCGAAGGCGACAUACUGGUCAGUUACUGACGCUGAGGCUCGAAAGCGUGGGGAGCAAACAGG